AUUGAACGCUGGCGGCAGGCCUAACACAUGCAAGUCGAACGAGUGGCGGACGGGUGAGUAAUGUCUGGGAAACUGCCCGAUGGAGGGGGAUAACUGCUGGAAACGGGAGCUAAUACCGCAUACCAUCGGAUGUGCCCAGAUGGGGUUAGCUAGUAGGGGGGGUAACGGCCCACCUAGGCGACGAUCCCUAGAUGUGCUGAGAGGAUGACCAGCCACGCUGGAAAGGAGACACGGUCCAGACUCCUACGGGAGGCAGCAGUGGGUAAUAUUGCACAAUGGGCGCAAGCCUGAUGCAGCCAUGCCGCGUGUAUGAAGAAGGCCUUCGGGUUGUAAAGUACUUUCAGCGAGGAGGCGUUACUCGCAGAAGAAGCACCGGCUAACUCCGUGCCAGCAGCGGCGGUAAUUC
rnacentral:rRNA from 1 species